UUUCAUGUUAAACUUAAAGGAUCUUACUCUUUACCCAAAAGGUCUGUCUCUUUAUGGAUCGUUCCAUAAUGUUGUUAGACAAUUAGAAUAAUAAUCUGAGCCUGUCAGUGGCAAAAACAUUUAGUGGAUGGAAAUUAAUUUUGCACAUUUGC